rnacentral:lncRNA from 1 species
CUUACACCUGCACAUGUUGUACUAAUGUGUCCACUAUACACUGAAGGCUAGGAGAUCAUCACUUACUUUUAGCCCGUUUUUAAUGUUUGGCUUCCAGAUUUGAACAAAGAACAAAUUGGUAGUUUGUGUGUCAACAUAGACUAUACAUACUUUGUCUUCAGGAAAUGACACGUGUUGUGAAUUGUCUCUUGCUUGUGGUUGUACUGACAGGUCUCUUGCAGGUCUCAUCUGCUAAUAAAAAAGGUAAGUGCAUAUACAACUUGUUUAAAGCAUAAUCAUUGACCUUAAUUGUGGUUUAUCUCUUUCUAAGAAACGAAGAUAAGAAAACGUGGUGUUUCAAAGAAGGUUUAAACAUUGAGUACACAGUAAUAUUAAAUAUUUAAUUUGAAUUGAAAAGAAAACAAGAAAAUGCGUCACAAUUUUACUUUAAGUGGGUCAUUGUAGAAGCAUGUCUUAGUUCACCUGAGCAAGAAGAGCAUUCUUCUAUUAAUUACAAGUAUGAAAACCACGUUGGAGUAUUAAAAGGAACAUAAUAAGAUUCAGAAAAUAUAAAGUAAUCAGCAGCGCACAAAAAAAACAUAUGUAUAUCACUAUCAUACCUGGGUCUGUUGGGUAUAUCAAUAGUGGACAUCAAGAAUUCCUCCAGCAACCAGUAAAACUGUAACACCCCUAUAGUCUGGCCGAUCACGAUGGCCCAUGUAGUUUUUUAAAAAGGUGGAAGGCUAUGUUAUCUAACCUUUUCUAUGUGCUAUUCUCUAAAUAGUGAUUCAGUCAUUUUAAAAUAAAUGUUCAGUUAGGUCAGAUACUCUUCAUUUCACUAAGAUGUUUUAUGGUUAGCUAUAAUCUUUAAUUCCAUAAUGUGUUGUGGCUUUCUAUGUUUGGCUCCGUUUUUGUCUCUUUAUAAAUAAAUAAGGGAUUUUUCGUGUAUAUUCAUCUUAUGCAUUUCUUUGAUUCAAACAUUUAUGGAACGAUUAAGCAUACAGCUGUAGUACUGGGCAACGUCUAUUUAAUUGAUGUGCAGUAUAGCUAAAAAACAUUUUAGGGACACAAUCCCUUUCUCAAUUUAUAAUUUACUUAAUGAUAACAUAUACUUACUGUGAAAAAAGUUUAAUUUACCUUUUCCGCUCAUCCUAAUGCUGCUUACAGUCCAUCGAUUUGGGCUUUAUUGAAUCCAGCCUGAUGCUUAUAUACUUUGUGGAGUUUUAUCCAUUGUAACUGUUACCAGGUACACCAGCAAACUGGCACAAUAGAAAGUAAUGAAUAAUGGAACCCUCCACGAAAAGUUGUAUGUUGGUGAAUAGGGCAUGUUACAUACAACAAUUCUCUUACAACGCUUUUUCAUGAAUUAUGAAUUGUACAGUCCUCUUAUUGUUCAUUUUUAUUUAGCAAAAUAUCAGAGAUUUAGGGUAAACCACAUAAAUAAACAUGUCAUAAUACAGGACUUUAAGUAUAUCAUGUUUAAAGAGAGCAUUAAAGGAUUAUGUCUCAGACAGCGAGCGCGGUUCUAUAUGGCCCUGCUUUGCAGGAUUUUCCUGAUGGAAGUGUAGGUGAUGCAACCAAUGCUCCCUCUAAUCUUUCAUUUUUGUGCGAAUAAUUAGAUUUUUUCCCGAUCCAAAGGUUUGUGCGCACUUUAUGUGCAAAUGUAAACCUGAAAUUGAUUCUUGAUAAUAUUGUUUCAGAGCAGCCUCGUUCUCAUUGUUUAGUUUUACUGUUUGAUAAUGUAGUAUAAGUAGUUACACAACAGUUUUACUGUAUUGUCAGCCAUUCAAACAGACAAGCCUUUCUGCUAAUACCUCUUUUGUUCAUUCAGUCAAACCAUAAAAAGCAAUAGGGGGAAACUGCACAUACCAGGGUACACACAAUUAAAAAGCAUUUACAGGAUAAUUUCCAGUUUGUUGCUUACUUCACCACACAGCUUCAGCCUCACCUUCACCACAGUAAAUAGCAAUUUAAUCCAGAAAAAAACUGGCCAAAAAUAUAAUAUUGGUAGCUUGUUGACUGUGUUUGGGCAAACAUGUUAAUUCCCUAACCUGGGCAAAAACAGUGAAUGAAGUCCAAUGAAUGGUGAUAUUUACAUAAUAAAUGCUUCUUACCCAUAAAUCAAAUUUAGCUGUCAGCUGGCACAAUUAUAGCAAACAUUAUAUGGAAAAGAGCUCUUUGCUAAAAAAAAUAAUUGUGAGAUAUACAUUGAUGCUUCUUAAAACAAAUAAAAAAUAAUCUUGAUAUGAUGGGAUAUGUCAGAGGCAUAUAGGAGAAACAAACAACCCAAUCCAACAGACACAAAUAGCAAACAUUAUCUGGAGAAAUUCCAACCACAAAUUUUUCAAAAGGAAGUUUUUGCCCAAUGAAUAGUGACAUAUACAUUAAUGCUUCUUAAAAACACUGUCACACACACUGACAGACACACUCACUGACAGACACACACUUAUAUAUUCUUGCACACACAGACACAAAUUAAUUUUAUUUUUUGUUUUAUUUUAUUUUGUUAUGCCCAUCCAGCCUCCCUACCUUUAGGAGAGCUGAUGUGGGCCUCACCCUGUAGUCCAGUUAAGAACUUCUCCCUGAAGUCCAGAGGGGAUUUUCUCCCUAGGGUCAGUGAGGAUCUUCUCCCUGGGGUCCGGUAAGAAUCUUCUCCAUGGAGUCGAAUGGGGAUUGUCUCCUUGUGGUCCAAUGGGGAUUGUCUCCCUGGGGUCCAGUGGGGAUCAUCCCCCUGGGAUUCAGUGGGGAUCGUCUCCUUUUUUUUUUUUUAGGAGUUAAUUUUUUUGUGAUUUUUUUUUUUGUGAAACCCAAAAGCUCUUUUCAGAGCUAUUAGCCCCUAUCCUGCCAGUGAUACCCAAUGUAAAGCGCUGCAGAAUUUGAUAGCUCUAUAUAAAUAUCAUAAUAAUAAAAUAAUAAUCGUCUCCCUGUGGUCCAGUGGAAAUUGUCUCCCCGGGGUCCAGUGGGGAUCGUCUCCUUGGGGUCCAGUGGGGAUCAUCUCCCUGGGGUCCAGUGGGGAUCUUCCCCCAGGGGUCCAGUCGGGAUUGUCUCCCUGGGGUCCAGUGGGGAUCAUCUCCCUGGGGCCAUUAGGGAUCGUCUCCCUGUUGUCCAGUGGGGAUCGUCUCCCUGGGAUCCAGUGAAGAAUGGAUCUUCCAUUUCCUCUAUGCUCCUUUGGGUGCCCUUUGUAGUUAUGCCUGGGCCAGACUUACAUCAUAUUCCGGCACCCGGCAUUACUACAGGGGGCGUGCAAGGGAGCAGAGAUAAACUGGAAACAUGCCAUCAAAUCUCCCUCAUCGCACCUGCCAGAAGCCUCCUCUCUGCCUCCCUCUUUGUGAAUGCCCUAAUGUCAACAGGCCACCUCCUGAGCUCCCUGGAGCAGUCAUUGAUUUGCUUCUUGCAAAGCUCCUCAUCAUCUGGCAGGUGCCACAGGGAGCCGUGCGCAGCGUCUGACUCUCUGUGCGUUCCCUCGAAAAAAGGUUGUGUGGGUGCAUACGCACACGCAUUAGAGGGAACAGUGGAUGCAGCCACGAGUACCCAACAAACCGUUUAAUAUCUUACUGUGUAAAAGCACCAGGACACUUCUAGCACCACAGUUACUACUAGGGAUCGACCGAUAUUGAUUUUUUAGAGCCGAUACCGAUACCGAUAUUCUGUGAACUUUCAGGCCGAUAGCCGAUAUAAUUUGCCGAUAUUCUGUACAUUUACCAUUUUGGAAAAUAAAAACUAUUUCUAAAGGUAAAUGCACAAAAUAUACAUGCAACGUGCAGUGGAUGCAGUGUGACAGGGGAGCUGUGUGUGUGUGUUUGUGUAGUGGAUGCAGUGUGUGUUUGUGUAGUGUGUGUGUUGUGGAUGCAGUGUGUGGAGGAUGCAAUGUGUGUUUGUGUAGGGGAUGCAGUGUGUAUUUGUCUAGUGUGUGUAGUGGAUGCAGUGUGUAUUAGUGUAGUGUGUAUAUAAUGAAAGCAGAGUGUGUGGGUAGUGUGCGUAAAGUGAAUGCUGUAUAUACUAAAUUCAAAGUGUGUGUGUAUAUAAUGAAUGCAGAGUGUGUGUGUAUUUGUGUAGUGUGUGUAUAGUGAAUGUAGUGUGUUUAUAUAAUGCAGAGUGUGUGUAUAUAAUGCAGUGUGUUUGUGAAGUGUGCAUUAUAUAAACACACUACACAAACACUGCAUUAUAUAAACACUACACAAACACACACACUGCAUUAUAUACACACUACACAAACACACACUGCACAAACACACUACACAAACACACUGCAUUAUAUACAAAACACACUACUACACAAACACACACUGCAUUAUAUAAACACACUACACAAACACACACUGCAUUAUAUAAACACACUACACAAACACACACUGCAUUAUACACACACUAUAAAAACACACACACUGCAUUAGAUACACACACACUGAAUUAUAUACACACACUACACAAACACACACUGCAUUAUAUAAACACACUACACAAACACACACUGCAUUAUACACACACUAUAAAAACACACACACUGCAUUAGAUACACACACACUGAAUUAUAUACACACACUACACAAACACACACUGCAUUAUAUAAACACACUACACAAACACACACUGCAUUAUACACACACACUAUACAAACACACACUCUGCAUUAUAUACACACACACUAUACAAACACACUGAAUUAUAUACACACACUAUACAAACACACACUGCAUUAUAUAAACACACUACACAAACACACACUGCAUUAUACACACACACUAUACAAACACACACACUGCAUUAUAUACACACACACACUAUACAAACACACUGAAUUAUAUACACACACACACUAUACAAACACACUGAAUUAUAUACACACACUACACAAACACACACUGCAUUAUAUAAACACACUACACAAACACACACUGCAUUAUAUAAACACACUACACAAACACACACUGCAUUAUACACACACACUAUACAAACACACACACUGCAUUAUAUACACAGUGUGUUUGUAUAGUGUGUGUAUAUAAUGCAGUGUAUUUGUGUGCAUUGUAUACAAACACACACACACACUAUACAAACACACACUGUAUUAUAUACACAGUGUGUUUGUGUAGUGUAUGUGUAUAUAAUGCAGUGUGUGAGGGGGCAUUUUUUAUUAAAUUAUUUUAAAAAAAAAGUAUAAUUAAUUCUUAUUUAUUUUUGUUGUCCCCCCUCCCUGCUUGUUACCUGGCCAGGGAGGGGGGAUAUGACAGUCCCUGGUGGUAUUGGCUGAGCUGGGGGGGCGGGCAGCAAGCGCUUACUCACCUCCCAGCAGCUCCUCCAGCUCCCCAAUGCAACUCUCGCGGCCAGCGUGUCGCGCGGAGCGUUGCCAUGGUGAUCCAUGGCAACGCUCGGACGGCCGCGGGUCUCGCGAGAGUUGCAUUGGGGAGCUGGAGGAGCUGCUGGGAGGUGAGUAGGCGCUUGCUGCCCGUCCCCCCAGGACCGCCGGGUUUGUAAUGAGCCCGGCGGUCCUAGGAGGUAUUAUCGGCAAUAUCGGUAUCUGAAUUGGCCGAUACCGAUAUUGCCGAGAAUAACGAAUAUCGGCGAUUAUAUCGGUAAAACCGAUAAUCGGUCGAUCCCUAGUUACUACAGCCCUCUGUAGUGGUUAUGGUGCUUGAAGUGUUCCCUUAAAACAAAAGUUCUUACUUAAUGUACUCAAUAUUUUGACAAACAUGUUUUACACCAUAUCUGGCACUUGGCAACCAAUCUGAUAGGAAAUAAAAACAGAAGCACAAAUAGAUAACAACACGGGCAUAGUAGAAAUUUACCUGUUUGCUGAUGAGAAUUUCAGUUUCAUCCUGUGUUGUAUUCCUGUGUUGUAUACAAUUUUCAGUGUAUUUUCAAUAUUACCUCCACAAAAUCCUGUCAUAUUUUCUUUAUAAUUUGCUCCAUCAAAAUGUAAAGUUUGAUUUUAUAACAAGACACGGAGGCUCAUAUUGCAUAUCCCUUUCUUUACUGUCCACCAAUAGCAGCAAAGAAUACAAACAGAAUGAAAAAAUAAUGAACAUACAGUAACAUAAGCCCCUCCCCGCUCAGGUCCCAGUAUAAUAGGCAGCACUUCCCUUCCAUUUCCCUCUUUCUUUGCUGCUCCGAUACAAAGAUAAGUACAUGUCACAUCUUCUCUCUGAUUUACUUGUUUAUUACCUGCUAUUGAUAAUAUUAUUGAUAUCCUUGUAUUACACUGUAUAGGUUUUAUCUGUUAUUGAUUCUUUUAUUGUCUUCUAUUUAUUUUAUUAGAGAUUUUUUCUUAUUUGUUUUCUCUGCUUGUUUGAUGCUGUUUUUCUGUGAACCCAGGGUCCAGACCUCCCCUGUUAUUUUUUGUUUAUUACCCCCCUUUUCACUUGACCCUGUUCUUGUGUUUUUCCUUGUUAUUUUCCUUAUCUACCUUAUUUCCAUCUUGCUGUUACCUCUCCCAGUCCCUUUGGCGCCCUUUUGAGCCCAUUCUCUGCUUUGUUCGGCUGUUUUUCGUGCACGAAUUAAGCCCAUUCGGUUGAUUCAUCACGAACAUAUGCUGUUCGCUUUUCCCCCAGCAGAUAGCACCAUUCGCCUGUUUGCCGCGUUCGCCUAAUUUUUGCACGAACUGCUCGUUCAUCUGUUUUUUUCUCCUCUUCAUAUAUAUUAGUUUAUCUAUCUCCACGAAUUUGUUUCUUUUCUGCCAAACGUUCGGUUCUUCAACUUAGCGAAUUUCACAGUAUUUUGCCGGGAAUCUCGCGAGAUUGCCAGCAUCCAUUUUCUGACUUCCUGUCUAACUCCCUACUUUGUGUGUGCAUGUGCCACUGGUCUGGGCCCUGGUGAGAUCUCUCUUAUACCUGUUGCUUUCAGGUUUGGGUGACUAACCCAUACUAUUCUGAUAAUCUAAUUAGGGAUUAGGUCUGGUUUUAUUCUCCAUUAUGCCUAAACCCAGACUACCUUCUGGAUACCCAACCUCUGGGGAGACUGAUGCUCCAUUUAAUUUGGGUGAGAACCCUGUCACCUCUGGCACUCCACCCACCCUGGAAGACAGAACUAUCCACCCUGAAGGGGCACAAUUCUUAGCGUUACAGCGCUCAGUGACAGAUGCCAUUAUGGCAGCCAUGGAGUCCAUGUCAUCUACCCUCUCACAUACUAUUUCCCAAGCCCUAUUGCCACGUCGUUCAUACGAGCAUUUCUCUGGCUCCACAACACCACUAUCGCGUCCUGCUGUGGACCCGCCGGGAGAGGCACCCAGAAAGGCUACCCAUAAGUCCAAACAUCCCUCUGCCUCCAGAAAUUCUAUGAUUGGCAUACCUAUGGUUGCCCCAGAAAGCGUGUCCCAUCCACGCAAAAGAGCCUUUCCACGCCAGGCAGAACGGGCGCGGCUAUGGAAAUGUGUCAGAGCACAGUUAGAGAGCGGCUCCGACUCAGAUAUCGGGUCAGGUGAGGAGGCUAAGAUUGAGUCGGACAGUGACUCUGAUAUGGAUGCUGCAGAUGUGGGCUUUGACAUCCUUCCCUCUGCUCAGGCAGAGACGUCUGGAGGUGAUACAGGGACUAGGCACCCCGUGGCUGCGGGGUCCGCCCUUGUGGACCCAUUGGGUGUCCCACUCUUCAACCCGGAUGACCUACACUAUCCGAGGUCGGCAGAGUGGCUCCCGGCCGACCACGUUGCCACGUACCUUGAGAAUUGGGUACGGCCCCCUCUUAGCAAAUUGGCACGUAACAAAUUGAGGGCAGAGUGUCCCAGGCCUGUGGUGCCCAAUAAAGUAUGUGACACUCCUGAGGUGUCCCUGGACAGUGAAACGAAGGACGAAUUACGAUGGUGGAUCCUCAAUCUGUCCGCGUGGAACGGCAAAGCGAUCUUCGGCUCGCUGCCAGAAUUCACCAUCGACUGAGAUGCGAGCCUCCAUGGCUGGGGGGCCCAUUGCGAGGGAGUUUCGACAGGAGGCUACUGGUCGGAAUUCGAAUCCCGGCUACACAUCAACGCACUGGAGCUCCUGGCAGGCUCCUUUGCCAUCCGCAGUUUUGUGAGGGACUGUGCCCUGGCAUGCAUCUGCCUCCACAUGACCACCUGGCCUGCACAACGUUCAAGCGUACUGGUGGUCACGAUAUCUUUCGGACACCAGCGACUGGAGAUUGGACACGGACGUGUUCUCCAGUAUAUCAUCUUUUUAGGGUCCCUUUGCCAUCGACCUCUUUGCAUCCCAGCUCAAAACCCAACUGUCACGUUUCUUCAGCUGGAGGCUAGAUCCGAUAGUGGAGGCAGUAGACGCCUUUCUGCAAGACUGGAGCGGAGGCCUCCUGUACGCUUUCCCUCCAUUCUCCAUGAUUCCGAGCUCGCUCCUGCAAACCCACAGACACUGGGCCGAGUUGGUCAUGGUGACCCCCUUCUGGGAGAUGCAGUCAUGGUUCCCUCAAAUGCUCGAGAUAUACAAUGGACUAUCCCCAACUACUGCCUGAGUUUCACGAACUGCUGCUGGACCCGAUGGGUCGAUGUCACCCCCUCCUGUUGGAAGGCUCCCUUCCACUCCUGGCGUGGCGGAUCUCCGGGGACCCUGGGAGAUCCAGAGAGUUUCGGAAACAACAAGACUACUGUUGGCAGAUGCGUGGGCUCCCGGCACUAGACGGGCAUAUGGGUCAGCUUGGCGAGCUUGGGCUGGCUGGUGCCUGGCUAGGAACGUGGAUCCCGUUUCAGCUCCUGUAACCAUUGUCCUGCAAUUUCUGACUUCCCUUUUUAAAGCAGGGAAAGUUUACUGGACUACCAAUCUCUAGCGGUCUGCCAUCUCUUCGACUCAUCAAGGCUUUGACGGAUGUCCCGCGGGGCAACACCCCUUAGUGUGCCGACUCCUCAAGGGCUCUCGAUUCUCCCGACCACCCAGGCCUCGCUAUUCCAUGACCUGGGAUGUCUCCGUUGUUUUGUCUUUUCUCUCAUCCUGGCCCGCUAACUCCGCACUCUCCCUAAAACAAUUAUCAGCCAAGUUAGUUUGCCUGCUCUGCCUUGUCUCCUGCAAGAGGAGCUGGUUUUAUCCUUUCGUCCUCCUUCCCACCCGGUUUCUAGCACCACAUUGUCAUGCUGGGUGAAGUGGUUAUUGUCUCAGACAGGCAUUAAUACCGCGGUCUUUAGCGCCAAUUAGGUCAGGGGGGCCUCGGCCUCUUCGAUGCUGACUGCAGGUGCGUGUCUUGAGGAUCUCAUGAGGAUGGCCGACUGGUCAAAGGAAUCUACUUUCCGGGAAUUUUACUUUCGACCGACCCCGCAUACGUUUGCUGCAGUAGUGGACCAGCUUUAAACUUGCAAUAUGAGCUUGUUAUAAAAUUGCAUGAUUUUGCUAUUACAUGACGAAAACUCAUGAUUUUAUUAAAGACACGGAGGCGAGUAUUGUCCCACCCAAUAUUGUAUUUCUCACAUUAUGUUAUUAUUUCCUACCCAGUUUUUUGUAUGUUUAGACAAGAUACAUCAAAUGGUUUGGUAUGGUAAGUGGGGCCUGUGUCAUAACGGGGUUUUGAUUAUGUACCUUGACUUGUUUUAAUCACUAUGAAUUGUGGGACUGCAGAUUUAUGUGGGGCUCCUGUUCCUUUAUGUUUUAACAGCCUGAUCCGACCCUGUGGAAUGCCAUGCUUCAGCUUGUGAGGACUCCCCCCGCUGAUAGAGUUUGGUUCUACAUUCAUCCGGUUGUGCUUCCCUGUUGUUGAAGUGUUAUCCUCUUCUCAGCGAAAAGUUCUGCGUUGUCUCCUCAUUGGACAUUAUCGCUGUUCUUGGUUAUUGACGUUGUUUUUUAGUGUCGCAUCUUCAGAAAGAGGAAAAUGGAAAUGGAAGGGAAGUGCUGUCUAUUAUACUGGGACCUGAGUGGGGAGGGGGCCUAUGUUACUGUAUGUUCAUUAUUUUUUCAUUCUGUUUGUAUUCUUUGCUGCUAUUGGUGUACAGUAAAGAAAGGGAUAUGCAAUACUCGCUUCCGUGUCUUUAAUAAAAUCAUGACUUUUCGUCAUGUAAUAGUAAAAUCAUGCAAUUUUGGUUAUACUGUUGCAAAAAUAUGCUACUCAAAAUGGUUAAUAUAUCACAAGUUUAAUCAAAUUAAUUGCAAAUUGAGUGUAUCAUUUUUUUGCUUACUUGUUUUGUUUUUGUAAAUCCUACAAAGGUUUCACAGUUGUAUAUCUGUGAUUAAUAUACUAGUUCACUAACAAUGAUAUAUCCCUCUAUUAGAUAUUAGUAUUUGAAAAACAUUCAUCAAAUUAACUUUUUUUCCCCCUUUGCUUCACCCUGCACUUCAGCCAAAAUUAAAAUGAACAAAUAUAUAUUGCUAUAUAUUUCAAAAAGCAACAAAAACAUUUACAUUUCAUUACGAUGACACUUAACUACUUAGACAUAUUUAAAUAUUUAUAUCCAAAAAAGCAAUGCUGCAUUCUUAUGAGAACUCAUUUGUCUAAUUCAAGGAACAUUCCAAGAUUGUUGUAGUGGUUAUGGUGCCAGGAGUGCCCUGGCACCAUAUACAUUUUGUGCAUAUUUUUGUUUACAUUCACAUUUGAUCUAUCAUUCUGUGUAAGGUCCACUGAGAUUCCAACAAUGUUGCAUUUUAUCGGAAUAAAUUGGUACUUUGAAGGAUGCACAGCACCAAAGCUGUCUGUUUAAUAAAAAGUGUAGGCAAUUUCAUUUCUGGCAAUUCGCGAUUAUGGAACUCAAGGACCAGCACCGGGAGUAUUAAAGAAAGUCCAUUUUUAAAAUUUAUCUAACAUUGCCCAAAUUUUGGAGUUGCGGCAUAGUGGUAGAACUUUUUAUCACUUGAGAAAGCCUAUGGGUGAAAGGCGUUGUGAUUAUAUAGAAGGACUUUUUAAAUCUGUUUUUAUUUUAUGUGAUAUAUUACAGUAAACAUUGUUUUUACCAUCAACAUUUUAUGAGCAUUUUUAAUGUAUUUUUUUCCUACAUUUUAUUUUUUAAUCUAAAAGAACCUCCACAACUACCUACAUAAUAUCCUUGGUGGGGAUCAUACCACCCAAGCUCAUAUCAUUGAGCAAAAGGUGCUCUUGAAAUUGUGAGUAGAUGUUAUAUAUAUAUUUUUUUUUUUUAAAGUACAGUGAGCACUAUAUCUUGUUUUAUUCCUAUCAUAUGCCGUUUACAUUGUGAAAAUCAAAAGAGGACAGCUCCAGAUUUAUCCUUAAGCGGGUAUUGUAAUGCUCAGAGCCUUAUCUAAGAGCUGAAUAGAAGCACUCUCCUUUUAUUUUAUUUUAAUUUUACCUAAAACAUUGUACAUACUGGAUUACACUAUUGGUGGUUUCUUUUGUGUUUUAUUUCAUAUGAGACACCAACAACAGAAUUCCUCAUCUGCACCACAGUUUUGUCUAGUUGAACACAAAGGAGGAUAACAGACUGACCUCCAAAUAAGCACUAUCUUCAAAAGGUUCAUGUCUCCAAAAAAUAAAAUCCUUUUCUGCUGGGACUCUUUAUUAUUGGUAUAUCUCAAUAUUUUUAUAUAUAUAUAUAUAUAUAUAUAUAUAUAUAUAUAUAUAUAUAUAUAUAUAUAUAUAUAUAUAUAUAUAUAUAUAUAUAUAUAUACACACUGCUCAAAAAAAAUAAAGGGAACACAAAAAUAACACAUCCUAAAUCUGAAUGAAUUAAACAUUCUUCUGAAAUAUUUUGUUCUUUACAUAGUUGAAUGUGCUGACAACAAAUCACACAAAAAUAAAAAAAUGGAAAUCAAAUUUUUCAACCCAUGGAGGUCUGGAUUUGGAGUCACACUCAAAAUUAAAGUGGAAAAACACAAUACAGGCUGAUCCAACUUUGAUGUAAUGUCCUUAAAACAAGUCAAAAUGAGGCUCACUAGUGUGUGUGGGCUCCACGUGCCUGUAUGACCUCCCUACAACGCCUGUGCAUGCUCCUGAUGAGGUGGCAGAUGGUUUCCUGAAGGGAUCUCCUCCCAGACCUGGACUAAAGCAUCUGCCAACUCCUGGACAGUCUGUGGUGCAAUGUGACGUUGGUGGAUGGAGCGAGACAUGAUGUCCCAGAUGUGCUCAAUUGGAUUCAGGUCUGGCGUACGGGCGGGCCAGUCCAUAGCAUCAAUGCCUUCGUCUUGCAGGAACUGCUGACACACUCCAGUCACAUGAGGUCUAGCAUUGUCUUGCAUUAGGAGGAACCCAGGGCCAACUGCACCAGCAUAUGGUCUCACAAGGGGUCUGAGGAUCUCAUCUCGGUACCUAAUGGCAGUCAGGCAACCUCUGGCGAGCACAUGGAGGGCUGUGCGGCCCCCCAAAGAAAUGCCACCCCACUCCAUUACUGACUCAAUGCCAAACCGGUCAUGCUGGAGGAUGUUGCAGGCAGCAGAAUGUUCUCCAUGGCGUCUCCAGACUCUGUCACGUCUGUCACAUGUGCUCAGAGUGAACCUGCUUUCAUCUGUGACGAGCACAGGGCACCAGUGGCGAAUUUGCCAAUCUUGGUGUUCUCUGGCAAAUGCCAAAUGUCCUGCACGGUGUUGGGCUGUAAGCAAAACCCCCACCUGUGAACGUCAGGCUCUCAUACCACCCUCGUGGAGUUUGUUUCUGACCGUUUGAGCAGACACAUGCACAUUUGUGGCCUGCUGGAGGUCAUUUUGCAGGGCUCUGGCAGUGCUUCUCCUGCACAAAGGUGGAGGUAGCGGUCCUGCUGCUGGGUUGUUGCCCUCCUACGUCAUCCUCCACGUCUCCUGAUGUACUGGCCUGUCUCCUGGUAGCGCCUCCAUGCUCUGGACACUACGCUGACAGACACAGCAAACCUUCUUGCCACAGCUCGCAUUGAUGUGCCAUCCUGGAUGAGCUGCAUUACCUGAGCCACUUGUGUGGGUUGUAGACUCUGUCUCAUGCUACCACUAGAGUGAAAGCACUGCCAGCAUUCAAAAGUGACCAAAACAUCAGCCAGGAAGCAUAGGAACUGAGAAGUGGUCAGUGAUUGACUUGGAGUUACAUUGUGUUGUUUAAGUGUUCCCUUUAUUUUUUGAGCAGUGUAUAUAUCUCUGUAUAAGAUUAUCUAGUAUUUCUAUAUUUGGUGCAGUCUGAUUUUUUCAUAUUGUGCCUGUGGCACCCACCAGACUCACCUUCAUGCCAGGACUCUGAUAUUAACAUACUCAAGCAGGAGGAGGGAAUGGGCUGAGCCCAGAGAAUCCAGCAGACUUACCUGCACGCCAUCACCACCAGUCUCCUGGAGCUGAGCCGAAGCUGAGCCCGGCCCCCAUGCAGGAAUCCAGUGGCUCCUACUCGGUUUUUACCUGCUUUUACCUCGAUUUAUGAAUUUAAUGCGUUCUCCAGGAUGUUUCUUAUUGUGAAAAAUUUGUAAACCGAAACACGGUUUCCCAUAGGAAUGCACUGAAAACCAAUUAAUCCAUUCUGGAGGUCAGAAAAAAGUCAAAAUGAGCUGGCAUGGGAACCAACCCACAAUGCAGAACACACAAUAAAAGGCUUGCAAACGACGAAGCUCAGCUCCCUACCUAACCACAGCUUGAGAAAUGUACCAAAAAGUCCCAAAACCACUGCAAACAAUUUCCAGAAUGGCUCCAAAACUCGAUGCAAAAGCCGCUCCAACACCUCCACACUCGACACCACGUGCUACCCACAGUCUCCAGCAUGCAGGGGGCGGUGCUAUAAACCUCCCAGGUGUAAUGCAUCCUGGGGAAACUUGCUUUGUAUUGCAAAAAAAAAUUGUAAACCGAGGCAUUAUUUUCAAUCGAUUUUCAUUUGUAAACCGAAAAUUAUGUUAACCGAGGCGUUUGUAAACCGAGGUCCCACUGUAUUUUAUUUUUUGUACAUCUCUUGUUACUCUACUCUCUUCUCUUCAGUCUUUAAGACUCCCUCUCAGUGCGAAUGCCUAUACAAGCCAAUAGUAUUGUAUUGUCAAGCCUAGCACUGUGGUGAUUUGUUUCUUAUUAUACUACUCUCCAGCUACCUGUCAUUUUGAUCUUUAGCAUGUACUUCGUUUUGAAUAGAAAGGAGUAUCUAGCAUGUUUCCUACAUAACUUAAAAAUGAGGCAGACAUAUUAUGGAGUUUACACUCUUGUCUAUAUACAUUUAUAUACAUGUUGAUGCACUUCUUGCUUAUGCGAGAGUGCUACUGUAAAAAAGAGAUUGACAAAAAAAAAAGAGACACCUGAUUGUCCUGAUACAGAAGAAUGGAUACAGCAGAUGUAGGGCUGGUGCCCGGCAGAACCCAGAUAAGUUGUUAAACUGUGCUAAAACAGUUAUACAUCUUACCCUGAGACAGCACACCAGGGCACUCCUGGCACCAUAACCACUAAGGCUUCCUACUGGAGCUGCUAAUUCUCUUGAAUUAAGCUAUAAUUAACUCUACCUCUUCUAUCUUAGUCACCCAAGCACAUUACACAUAACACACAUUAUCAGCCAGAGCAUUACUCACAUCAGCAAGGGACAGGAACCACAUAAGUCCCUUUUUGAGUAUUCUUUUUCCAUUUACAAAGUCUCCUUACAGACAUGUUCUUAGAACUGGUUAUUUAUGUGAAGAUUAACAUGUUUUGACCUUUUACUUUAUGAUCAGAUUGCUUUAGAAUCCCACACUGCACAGACAGUGACAUCAUCCAUGCAAAAAUUCUCCAUGCAGUCUGGGGGCCAUAAUCUCUGCCAGAUUGUGACAUAUAUGCCCCAGUCUGUCCCAAAUUAGUGAAAGUUAAACUCCUGAGCAUUACCUGCCAGCGUUAUAAUGAAUGUUAAAAUACCUCCUGUCUAGAUCUGUAACUUUCACUAAUCUUUGGCAGGAAUGGGAUUUGUAUGUCCUAUUUCUGAAAUUACAGUGUUUUUCCAAUUGACCUCUACAAAUGCCCUAUAUACACAUUAGCCUCUACAUUAAACUAAUACACACCCCUAAACAUCAGUCCCUAUAUUUAUUUAUCAAAUAUUUUACCAGGAUGGAUACAUUGAGAUUUCUCUCAUUUACCAUAACUCACUACACUCACACUAAGCACCAUGUAUUUACAGUGUACUGAAAAUGUACAAAAGGCUAAAAAUUUUAACAGGUAGACAGAUUGAGUCAGGUUGUGACAAUCUGACAUAAAAUGUGAGCAUAUACUUUUUAUGUCAUUUUAUGUUCUUUGUUGAAAAUGAGCUUUCCCAGAUGACUAUUACAAUACAAACCAGGCGAUGUUAUGUAGUCUAGAAGUUGAAAGUCCUUAUAGUUUGAUUCCACAUGAAGUGAUACACACACCUGGCACUAUUUAGAAUAUAGUGGUACACAAUUCACAGCCCAUAGUUAUUGGUAUUUGUAAAUAAGCUCUUGUGGUUUAUUUUGACCCACAAUUUCUUCAUUUUCAAUAACUAAUUCUACCACCUGCUGAGGUCAACUGUGAAGCGGACAACUUGUGUAUGUAAAUAUUCACCUGGGCUGGUGGAAGGACAAUUAGUAUUUCUUAGGUAUAUGUGUACAUCACACAAUACAUACACGUUUUGAAGUGAUAUAAAGACAAUGUCUUUAUAGUCUGGAAUGGGACAGAGGAGAUAUUUAAACAUCUUACCAAUGUGAAUGAUCUUAACUUGAGAUUCCCUGUUGAAAUUUGCAAAGUGUCAUUGAAUUUCUUGGGUGUUACCCUCACAUUGUUUUCUGAGUGGAAUAUUUCAACAAGAUUGUUCAGGAAGCCCACAGCUACGACAGUUAACGUCCGAAGGGUAUCCUAACUGGACAGUAUCUGAGACUGAAACGCAACUCUCUUGGCUUGACCUCCAUAGAUAAGCAGUUGUGCUUCUCAGAUACUGUGCUACUGGGACAAAGUUUCAAAGACAAUGGUUAUUCUACCCGCUAUCUGAAUCAAGCAAGAGACCAUCCACAAUUGACAUACUAACCUUUAACAGGAUUCCUCUGAAUUAACAUCUAAGAGCAAUUCUCUGGUUAGAUAUAUUGGAAAAUGUGAUGCGGGCUGGGAGUUGAUGAAAGCCACUAUAGAUAGAUAUUGAACUUUACUUUCCCAAGGACAAACAUCUUAAAGAGGUAAUCACUCCCUCAUAUUUCCAUCACAGUUCGAAGAGGAAGAAAUGUACAGGGCAUAUUAGUCCCUAAUCAUUUUCUCAGUUCUCCCACUCCAUAAUCUAAUUGUUGGAACAUUUCAGGGAGGAAGAUAGGUUAUAGAUACUUGUAGAUUUAUCCAAUGUGGUACUAAAACAAUGACUACUACUGAUAACAAGGACACAUUUACAGAAAAAUGUGUUAUAUAUCUUCCGACUUGUAGCAGUGGUAUAAAAUAUGUAGGGAAACAUUUUGCCCACUCCAGGGCCAGACUGGGAACAAAAUUUGGCCCAGGCUCGGCUUGUGAGGUCCCUGUGUGGAUAUGAAUGCUCCCCUUGGACAGCGUUCGUCUAUACGAAAUGACGGCCACCCAGGGGAGCACUCAUUAAUUACUUCCCUUGCGGUUUCACACUUGUGUUGCGAGUGCGAACAUUCUAAAUAAUUGGUGUGACCGUUCCUCUGGAGCGCUGGGGAGGUCCUCGUUCGGGAGACGAACGAGUUGGGAAACAAUCCAAGGAAGCACUUUGCGGUAUGUAGCGAGGUGUGAACAUACUAACCUAACAUUCUAAAAGGGGUAUCGGGGUGGUUCCCGUUCGGGAGGUAAAUGGAUUCCCUUCAUGGAAGACCUCCUGAACUGGGAGAGGGCACAAUAAACAAAACAAUGCAGAAAACACCCAUAAUAUAAAGAAAGGCAAUUCACGGACAGGCAAUGGUUCCGCCACAACAGUGUGUGUGUAGGUGAUCUAGUGUGUAAAUGACCCAGCGUGUGUAUAGGAGAUUGUGUGUGUGUGUGUAGAGGAUUCAGAAGGUAUAUAGGGAUCUAGUGUGUGUAUGUGUGUGUGUAGAUUAGAUGAUCCAGAGUUGGGUAAGGGAUCUAGUGUGUAUCUGGCGUGUAAUGUGUGUAGUGGUGCAGUGUGAGGGGUACUGUAGUAUAUAUAUAUAUGUAUAAAAAAAAACAAAAAAAACAAGAGGGCUGCACUCACCUGAACAGGCAUACAUUAUAGGGUACUGCUGGGGCCAAAAUAUACAAAAUAUAGACUCCAGCGCACUCGCUUACUCACUAAACAAUGAUUUCAAAUCUUAGAGAUUGUAAUGGUUUUAUUUAAAAACACCUCACCUAGGCAAAAAAAUAAUGGGGGUUUAGUUACAUUAUAUGAUCAUACAUUGCAUAAGCCUGCCAUAACGUCAAUGUACCCCAUUCUUGGCAGGUCCUACUCUAGCAGCCUAAUGCUUGCUCUUAUGAGAUUAAUCCACUUACUUGGGAAAUACUUCCUUACUGGGACUCUCUGCAAGUCAAGGCUAAAUAGGGUCCUGGAAUGAGGCACCUGUGACAGGGAGGGGUGCAAAACCAAGGAGCUGGCCUGGACUCCCAAAUAUAUAAAAAAACCAAGAUGGCUGCACUCACCUGAACAUGCCACCUAUAUGCCGAUGGCACCUAGAUAUAUCUCUCCUCCCCUGGUCUCUCCACCGCUGUCCUAGAGCGCAUCACCCAUUGACUUUCUUCCAUCUCUGAUUGAAUGUCCUCUGGUUUAGAGAGACUGAGUGUCAGAAAACGUAUCUUCUGAUUUUUCCUCCUCAUAAUAAUAAUCCUCCGCUUUUGCUCUCACUGCAAGUCGAUGGUACCCGCAUCAACCCGUCCUUGCAAGCUCAUUGUCUUGGUGUUAUCUUUGAUUCGGGCCUUACCUUUAUGCCUUGAAAAUACAUCCUGCAAGUGUCACAGAACCACUUCAACCAAGACAAUCAACGGGUAAGGCUGUUAUUGUGCUUUCUAUUAGAAACAUUCUGUAAUUGGGCCUGUUCAUUCUGUACAGUGCCACACUCACUGACUGUGAGCAUCAGCUGAGCUCUUUUCAGACCUGUUUCUGCUCAAUAAAUCAUCUAGCUCCUCCUGCAGGAGAAGCCGCAUGCAGCAAGGUCAACCAGUGGACCCACGUAAAUUGUCAAGAAAUUCUAGGACAAUUUGGCAUUACCACUAGUGCUGAUUGGUUGAUUAAGAUGCUUGGAGUGUUCCUUUUGAAGAAAACCAUACAUUUUGUGAAACAUGAAAGUGCAGGACUGGAUAUUAUGCUUGAAGUGUCUUUUCAAGAUGUGAUGCUGAAUCAUUUAGAAAAUAGAAAAUGAAUAAAACAGACAAUACUUUUUUGAUGUCUUAAAAAUAUUAUCAUCCAUCUCAUAAAAACAAAAAGGUAGAAACCAAUUUGUUCCCUUUAUGAGUGUUCUAUUUCCAUUUAAAUGAUGUAUUCAUAAAAAUGCUUCAACAGAGAAAACAUAUUUUUUUGUGGAAAUUUCAAGUUGGCGUCUCAUCUUACACAUCCGCCUUAGAGAUGUUCAAUAAAAAUAAGAAAACAACAUAUUUAUAAAAAUAUAAUAUAAUAUUAUGGCAGGGCCCUCUUCUCUUCCAUACAGUAAGCAAGUUUGAAUUGCAAACUUUAUGCAUGUAUUAUAACAAUCACAAAGAAAUAGGUGAGCUAAUUGCUAACAUGGAUUAUUGGUAAUACACCAUAGUUUAGUUUACCAUAGUUUAGUACUACUGUGAAUGGGCAUUAUGCUAACAGAUACUUACCAACAAUCUGGACUGGGUAAUCAGAAAGGGGUUGACAUGGCUGCCCAGAAAAGGUGUAAAGGUGAGGCAAGAAUUAAAGCUAACACAAAGACAGUGUCAGGGUGGCGGUCGGACGACCGGGACCCAGUAUACCUGAUGAAGAAAGUAAGAGUCACAGUGUGGAAGUGGAUAAGCAGGGUCUGGUACAGGGUAACCGCACGUCACCUGGUAUUGAGCACCAGCGUUUGUGUGGCCACAUACGAGGACCCUGAUGCAGCUUCGGCGGAUCCCAGAAACGAGGAGCUUGGAAAUAAACAGACCUCCCAGGAGCUGAAUAGGGAGGCUCUGCAGCAGGAAUGUAUCCAGUACAGAAACAAAGUAAGGCUAGGAUAGGCACCAAACAUGAAAACAAGACAGAACUAAUAGAACCCAGAACCAGAGAAGGAUAGGAAGCUAAACCCAGAACAUGUACACAAUACAGAAGGGAAACAUUAGCAGGACAGUACAGCACUGUACAUAGACUGGGAAUACAAAAUAAAAAAAAGAUGAUAUAUAAGGCAAAACAAGAGGAGACAAAACUAAGUACUAUAUAUGUCAAACAUUGGAGAUUUAGACAUACAUAAAUGGCCAAGAUGUAUGCAGCCCACCAACUGCGGCAAAGUACUCCAAUAAAGGUGGGAAACUAACUGCCUAAAUUUGCAUGACUAAAAAAACAAUAAUUAAACACACACAGCACUUACCUGCAAGAAAAGGCAGAGGACUUGUAGCAACUGCCUGCAGGAACCAACUGAAACAAAAGGAACGGGUGUGGCAACAUAAAACAAACAUUUAAAGGAAUCCAAGAGACUGGGAAUUCCAGGAACGGAAUACAGGAAUUAACCCAGAAAACCCAGCAUAAAGAAAACCAGACAUGGAAUAGAAAACCAGAAAAACCAAGAUAAACUAAACAAGAAUUUUAAAAAGAGUACUGGAUACCAGAAGCCAUUGCCAGAAUGAUCCGCAGCUAGGAACAGGAUGUGACAGACAGCGAACUUACAAGGAUGAGGUGAUUCGCGUACCAUUGCAGGGAGAGUGACAGAGGAGGAUUAUUAUUAUACGGAGGGGAAGAUAAAAAACUCAGUAUAAGACAGAUUGACUUUGAGAAAGUAAGAGGACAUCCAUUAUAGACAAAAAAGAGAGGCAACUGGGGACUCUUUGUAGGACAGCAAGCGAGAGAUCAGGGGAGAAGAGGAAUAUCAUUGGCAUACAGGUAGUAGUAAAAUCCAAAAACAUUUGUUUGUUUGCCAGUAUAAAGAGAAAAAAAGAAGGGAACUGAGGACAGGAUGACAAAAGGAGGUGCUACCAGAAAAGAAGAGACAUUAAAGGAUCACUGGGAGAGAGAGGACAAGAACCAGGAAAACACAGAGUCACGAAGGGUAAUGGCAGGAUGAGUUUGGAGAAGUAGAGUCAAAGUCAGUAGAGAGAGCAGAGAUUCUAUGGAGUAAUGGCCUCUAUAUUUAGCCUUGAUCAUAAAUAUGCUUUAACGCAUAUUCUGGAUGCUUGAAUGUGAGUACAAUUCUUUUCUAACCUUGGAGGAUGGUGUCUAUGUUUUAAAUUUGCUAUCUGCUCUGAUGUCAAUUCAAUGUUGACUUCUAUGUUCGUUUUCUAAUUUUUAUUAUUAUUUCCCCUCUUAAUCUAAUCAGGCCUAUAAGGGCUGGUGCAAGGAUUUUUGUCUACACAGGCGAAAGGUGAUUUUUGCCGUCACCAAAAUUAAUCUAUACCUGUGUGUCUAUUAACCCUCUUUUUGCCCAUCUUACCUUAUCUAUAUAUAUAUAUAUAUAUAUAUAUAUAUAUAUAUAUAUAUAUAUAUAUAUAUACAUACAUACAUAUACAAACACACUGGGCCAUAGACAAACACACACACAAUGGAUCUUACACACACACACAUUUACAAACUGACAUACACAAACACUGACACCUUUAGUCCAAUGUACUAUUUGCUCAUAAACCUAUUGUUCCUUUCAAAAUUUGUAUGUCACGAAUUCAUCCGCUUAUAAAAAUGUGAUUAAUGGAAUUUACUGUACAGACAGGAAAAGUUGUGCCUAACAACAUUACUGUCCUGACAGGAAAAGUUGUGAUGAGCAACAAUCAAAUCCACAGCAGGGUUUGUGCUGAGCAACAAUUAUGCAAAUGGGAACCUGGUAACUGCCUUUGGCCACGGCUAUUCCUGACUGUUCCUUGGUACGUUAGUCCGCCCAUUCUAAGGUCCGGUAUACGUUACCUAUCAGUCCUCUGUGUUACACAAUUCUAUGUACUGGAUCAUACUGUAAUCCUGACAUUCUCAUAGUUUGUCUCAUUUAUUGUUAUUGUCCUAUUAAUAUUAUUGUAAAGCACUGCAUAGUCUGUUGGUGCUAUAUAAAUAAAAAUAUACCACUACUACUACUAUUACUGCUACUACUACUACUACUAAUAAUAAUCUACAUAACUGGGCUAAUAUGGCAAAGUGUUCUUCUCUGACACAUGAUUAUGUUUUUACAACCCACUGUCAACCACUAGGGGUCAGAAGAGCUGCAUUUCUGACAACCCAUUAAUUUAAGAAAAAAGAGGAAUCACAGUCGGCACUUUUCUUUUUUUUUAUUAUUAAUAAUUUUUCGUUAUUGUUUUCUUUUCCACUCAUUCAGGAAUUGAUUAUAAAACAGAAUGUUUAUAACUACAUUAACAAAUGAUGACCUGUUUCACACUCAUCAAUAUUCCAUAUUAACCUUCAUAAGAGGAAUAAUAAUAACAUACAUAUAAAUACAAUAUACAUUUUUCACAAGAUCCUGUACAAAACAUAGGACUUUACAUUUAAGACAAAAUCAAUCUGUUGUCGAGGAGGAGCAUCCCGGGGAGUUGUAAUUUCAACCAGUAUAAUGUUCAACGCUCAGGGUUGAUUAGUGUUAUCUAUAUCUAAUUUAUUUGCCCAUUCUUCCCAUAUUUUAGUUGUUUUGAAUCUAUAUCCUAUGGUUUUGCUGAUAUUCUUUUCAAUUUUAAUUUGAUAUAUUAACUGUUUAUAUAUAUUCAACCAAAGUGGAGCUUGGGGAUUUUUCCAACUAAGCGCAAUUGCAAUCUUUAUGGCCAAAAAAACAUUGUAUAAUGAAAAAACAUAACUUGUGUUUUUUAGAUUUUGGCCAAUUCAGGUGCAAAAGAGCUAUUUCUGGAGUAAAAUUAAAAUCUAAAUUAGUAUGGGUUUUUAUAACAAGAAAUAUAUUUUUCGUAUGUAACAUAUCGGUGGGUGUUCAGGAUACAUUUUUUUAAAUCUUGUCAGUACUAUGUAAUACUUUGAAUUGAUUUUCUGCCAAAUUUAUACAGUGCAUUACUUUUUUAACCUUUACCCAUACAUCACACCAUUCUUUCAUAUUUAUAGUAUAAAUCAGGUCACUUUGCCAAAUUUGGAAAACUGUGAAUGUUUGUAAUUUUCCCAUCGUAUUCAACAGACAAAACUAUUAGAUAAAACUUUUAGACAAAACUUUGGAUGUUAAAUCAUAAUUUAGAAUAUUGAAAAGUUUGUCUGUUAUAUCUGAUUUAUCUCUCAUUAAAUUGGCCAUUAUAUAAUUCUUUAAUCUUUGAUAAUUAAACAUUUCUGAUACUGGGAGUUGGUAUUCGUGAACAAUCUAUGGGAAGGAUUUAAAUUUUCCUGCUGUUAGAAUGUGCUCUAUUUUUAAGAUGCCCCUCUGUCUCCACUUCCUAAAAUCCAAGUCCAUGAUAUAUUGUUCCAAAGAACCUAGAUAAAUAUGUUCAGGAAUCUGGUUUAAUAUCCCACAUUUAUUUUUUAAUCUAAUCCAGAAACCCAUAAAAUGAUCCAAAGCAGUGCUAGAGUUUCUGGCCAUUCUCAUCUUAUUUGAGUACUUUGCUUGCCAUAGCAGAGAGCUCAGAUAAUUUAGAUGACAAGAUUCGGUCUCUAUUUGAUUCCAUGCUUCUUCUUCUUGUUUUCUUAAUUGAGCAUUAUAUAUAUGGUAUAUCAUCCUAGCCGAGAAAUAAUUUUUAACUAAAGGGAAUUCAACUCCCCCAUUUAACAUACUUUGCGCUAAAUAUUUUGAUUAAGUCUUGUUUUUUCCCCCCUGCCAGAUGAAGCUUGUAAUACUCUUCUGGAUUGGAGCCACCAAUCUGAAAAAUUUAGAGGAAUCAUCCUAAACAUAUAUUGCCAUUUGUGGAGAAUAUAUGAAUUAAUUAUAUUAAUUAAUACCUUUUUUCAUCCAAGUAAAAUUAUAUUUAGAUCUAAUAUAUUGUUGUAAACUGUUAUCUAAAUUAAGAUCCAUUAUUGUUGAUUUCUCAAUGUUAAUUUUGUAAUUUGCUACUUGUUGAUAUUCUUCUAUCUCCUUCAUAAGAUUUUCUAAUGACCUAUUCGGCUCUGAAAUUGUAUUCAGUAAGUCAUCAUACAUAUUCAUUUUUUAUUCCCUUUCUUUACAUCUAUAUCCCCUGAUGUUCUUAUUAUAUCUUAUGAUGUUAGAAAAGGACUCAAUAGAGAUGAUGUAGAGGAGUGGAGACAGGGGGCAUCCCUGCCUAAUACCAUUACUAAGCGAAAACCAAUUUGAACAUACAUUUGAUCCCACUACUCUUGCUGAAGGUGUUGUGUAUAAAGCCAUGAUGGCCCGAUGUAUCCAUUCCAAUCUUGAAUCACAAAUUGUUGUAAUGAUUGACUCAACCACUAGAGGUCAGAAUAGCUGCAUUUCUGACAGCCCAUUCAUUUAAGAAAAAAGAGGAAGCACCGUCAACACAUUUCAAUUGCAUCUUACAUUACCUCCAGCAAUGCACCAAAAUGCAAAAUUCACAACACAAACUUACUUGAUGAAUGAUAUUGUGCAAAAUAGACAAACAAAUCUUCUCUUCUCCAAGGAAAGAAAUCUCUCCCAUGUCGCUUAAAUCAUAAUUUGUGAGGAUUAAAGUCAUGUUUUUGGGGGUUUUUUGUUUUGCCUCUAACAGAUUUUUUUUUAAAAUAACUUCAAAUCUCUUGCUGCAGGUUUCACUGAGUUUCCCAGACCCCUAAAGCACUUUAGCUUGCUGAAAAGUUUUCUGUGUGAUGUAUGUGUACUCUUGCUGGUCCUGUUACUUCCUGGUUUGGUUAGCUCAGUGGAGCUAAACACAUGAGGCUCAAUUGAGGCAGCAAUUUCUCAGAGCACCUGCCUUUUCAUUGAGCUGCAUUGGGAAGUCUGUAAUUAAACAGCCACAGAAAGUCUGGGGGGAGUUAGUAGGAGAGGGCUUGUGAAGGCUACAGACAAAAGAUCUGCAGGUUUUGAAAGCUGCUUUUAGAGUAACCCCAAAUGAAAAAAAUACAUAAACAAUUGUUAUUUAUUUUGUAUUUAGCACUGGAAUGUCCCUUUCAGUUCAUUUUUUUUUUUUUUUUUUUUACUGAUUUAGUCUAGCCCAGAUAUAUAGAUGGACUUAUAUAGCUUACUGCUAUAUUAAAUAAAGUGUAGGACUUAAUCAGUUAAAAUUAUCUCUCUUGAUGCAAAGUUGUUUUUUUAAGAAAUCCAAAUUAUUGUAAACAUGGCAUACGGAUAAAAGAGACAUUUUAUACAUAGAGAUACUUAAAAUUAAAUAGUCCAGUUAUAGAUUAUUUUGUCCCAUUUAGCUUCCACAGAAAUUUAGGGAGGUUAUAAAGUGAAAUGGUCCACUUCAAGGUUCAAGGUAUUCUGCAUCCAGAGAGCACUGCUGUAACACAUGGUUAUUUUAGAUACUGUAUCUUACUUACCAGCCAGAAGAAGUCUAGACAUUCUCCUCUGACCUUUCAUUAAUAACGAAUUUUUAUGCCACUGAACUACAGCCCACUGUAUAUUAAAGAAACAUGCAAACGUUAUAAAUACAUAUGCAUUCAGGGAAUGAGGGCUGAGAGCAGGGCCGGCGCUUCCUAUAAUGCGAACUAGGCAGCCGCCUAGGGCGCCAUAUAGGAGGGGGCGCCCUGCGCCCCCAUCGCCGGCACUUUAAAUUCUGCAGCCGCUCAGACGGCUGCCGCACUGCCUCACCUCCCCGGCACUGUAGCGUGGUGGAGCUCCUUUCCAGUCCGCGACCCGGACGGACUGACAGGAAGUGCACACUGAGAAAACUAUAGGGGAGGGGGUGGAGAGAAGAGUAUAGGGGAGGGGGGAGAGAAGAUUAUAGGGGAGGGGGAGGAGAAGAGUAUAGGAGGGGGAGAAGAGUAUAGGGAGGGGGGUGGAGAAGAGUAUAGGGGGAGAGAAGAGUAUAGGGGUGGGGGGGAGAAGAUUAUAGGGAAGGGGUGGAGAGAAGAUUAUAGGAGGAGGGGGGAGAGAAGAUUAUAGGGAGGGGGGAGAAGAGUAUAGGGGAGGGGGGGGAGAAGAAGAGUAUAGGGGAGAGAGAGAGAAGAUUAUAGGGGGAGAAGAUUAUAGGGGAGGGGGGAGAAGAUUAUAGGGGGGGAGAAGAUUACAGGGAGGGAGGGGGAGUGGAGAAGGUUACAGGGAGGGGGAGAAGAAGAGAAGAUUACAGGGGAGAAGAAGAGGAGAACACGGGGAGGGGGGAAUAAGAGGAGAACACGGGGGGUGGGAGAUGAGAACGUAGGGGAGGGAGAGACCACUAAAGGAGGGAGGGGGCGGUGGAGAGACCACUAGGGGAGGGGUGUGAGGAGAGACCGCUAAGGGAGGGGGGUGGAGGAUAGACCACUAGGGGAGGGUGGGGGGAGAGGAGAGACCACUAAUGGAAAGUCGGGGAGAAAAGCAGACCACUAAGGGAGGUGGGGGGGAAAGGAGAGACCACUAAGGGGCAGGGGAGAACUCUAAGGAAUGGAAGGGAGAGCUCUAUAGGACAGGGGGCAGGACGGGGAGCUCUUUCACACCACGCGCACACACACACAAUGCAUCCCUAUACACACAGAAACACAACAUGCUUCCCUUACACACAGAGAAACACACAAUGCAACCCUUACACAUAAAGACAAUGCAUCCUUUGCACAUAUACACAGAAACACACAAUGCAUCCCUUACACACACAUGCAAACACACACUGCUUCUCUUACACACACACAGAAACACAAUGCAUUUCUUACACACACUCAACGCACCCCUUACAGACACACACACUGCAUCCCUUACAUACACAGAAACACACUUUGCAUCCCUUAUGCAUACAAACACAGAUUCACACAAUGCAUCCCUUACACACAACAAGAAACACACAAUACAUCCCUUAUACACAAACACUCACUGCUUUCUAUCCCUUACACAAAAACACACUGCUUCCACUACACACAAACACACUGCAUCACCUACACAAACUGGUAUCCCUAUACACUACAUUCCAUAAGCACACACAUUAGAUCCUCUACAGUAACACAUAACACAUCCCCUACACACUCUACUCCCUGUGAGCGAACUCAUGGGUGGAACAUGUAGGUGGACUUAUGGGUGGGCUUUAUGGGCAUACUCACCGUCGGGCCCUGGGGCCCAGACCUUGAGCUAUGUAAGAGGCCCCAAAAAAUGGAGCUGCUUCCUGUGCUCCCAGAACAUUGAAUUUUGUGACCACAGUUACAAACAGCCUCCAGAGAUCCUGUUCUACACCAGACCAGUGGAGCCAGACUGCAGCCAGAGCCCAUCACCAUCCUCAUCUGAUUGUAAGUAGGCAAUCUAGUAUAUUAUUAGUGACACUAAUCUCUAAUUUACCUCACAUUAAAUGGACACUAUAGUCCCCAGAACCACUGCAGCUUAAUAAAGUUGUUCUGGUGUCUAUAGUUUGUCCCUGCAGGCUUUUUUAAUGUAAACACACACUGUGUGCAGCACUGGCACUAGUUCAUAUGGCAGAUCAUAUGGGUGGGGCAUUGCGAUGUCCUUAAAGGGACACCGUAGGCACUGUAUCUGCUUCAUCUCAUUAAACUGGUUAUAGUGUCUGGAGUCUUCUGGUCCCAUCUUUUCUAUCAGCAUUAAACAGUUUUUAAAAUGUUAAUGUUUUAAUGCUAAACAAGAGUCCCCGGCAAUCCAUCCCCUCUGUGCUGCUUUGGCUAAUAAGGAACUAUUAGCCUGAGCAGCAAUGGGCAGCUGUGAUUGGCUGAGAGUAUCAGCUGACUGCUUUUAGCCUGUCAGAGUUCCAACUGACGGUAUGAGUGGGUAUGACAACAAGGAGGUGUGUAAUCUCUGCCUUAGCUACACAUACUGAAGGGGCCGGACUGUGGGUGGCCAGGGACUCUUAUUUUGUGGCCUACUGCACGAACAUGGUGCAACACAGAAUGGAGGGACAGUGCCAGGGUACUCCAGGCACUAUAACCAAUUCAAAGAGAUGAAAUGCUUAUAGUGACUACAGUGUCCCUUUAAGGGAUUAAAGAGAAAGUGACACCAGAUUUUCAAAAGUAUUUUGUUUGGUAAGCCAUUAAGAAAUUGUUUCUAUCUUCCCGUGGUUAGACUGUGGUUUGUCUUUCAAAGUUGUUGGUUUUUUAAACCACAGGUUUCUCUUGCAUAUCUCUAAAAACGUUAUUUCAUAAAGAGUUAUUUUAUGAGAUUUGUACCAGAUGUAUCAGUGUAAAUCAGGUCUGUAAAAUGAAACUAUUGAACAAGUGAAAAAAAACAAAAAAACAUAAAAUAUUGUCUCCAUGUUAUUUGUUUCAAUAAUCUUAACAAUUGCUUAGUGUUGGUAUUUGUACAUUGUACAAAACACCUCCAAAAUCACACAAAUAAUACAAUCAUAAACCCAAAUGUGAAGUGAAGCACUAUUACCUAUGUGUCAUAUGUGAAAAAUUCCAAAAUUUGCAUAACGUAACUCCAAUGACUUCUAUCAAUUUUUUUGUCUUGAUAGCAAAAUAAAAGUAACUUCAUAGUAUAACCUCUUUUGCAAAAAUUGCAACCUCACAUUGGAUAGUGCUAAUAAAUUAGCUAAAACUUGAAAACUUUUAGGCAGCACUCCCCUCAUAGAGAUACAUGACAUACAGAUACAGGUAUAUCUUCUUCACCACCAGCUCUAAGAAAAACAUGGAGAAAAUUGAUAUUGGAUAAAACUGUACGACAGUACUAUGUUAUAUAUAAAAGACGUGCACUCACAUGAAUAGAGACACUUAGUUUUGCUGCUUUUUCUGUAUCUAACCCAUACCAUCUAGUUGCCUAAUCCGGAAUCAUGCAAUUCAAUCAAAGCAAAGAGAACUCUGUGGUAAAAAAAAACUUUCUGUUCCUCAAAAUAUUAAAACAUCCAAAAACUCAUUUUACAGAUAUCUGGCUACUGAAGUAAAGAAGCCAGAUAUUGGUGAAACUUGUUUUUGGCUAUGUUACAUGCUGGCUGAUGUGAAUUAUGUGCAUAACUGGCAUCUAACACCAGCACGCACAACAAUCUGGUGCCAAACAACCAAUGGCAGCACAGCCUUAGCCUCCCCUUUGUCCAUCCUCCCUGCACACCCCGGAAGGGAGGAGCAACAUUAGACAAGGAGGAUCGGGCUGAAGGCCUUAGUGAUGGAACACAGGUGAGUUUUAGCAUUUUUUUUUUUAAACUUGGGGAGGUGGACUACCUCAGGGUUUCUCUAACUAAAAUCACUGUUUCAUAAAGACUUGUUUUUGAUUGGAGUAACCCUUUAAUGCAUGUAAGACAGUAAGGGAUCGGAAUACAUAAACAGGGUUAUUCAAAAACUGAAUCAUGCCAAAAUAGCAAAUUUAUUAAAAUGUAUUAAAACUGUUUUUAGUUUGACUAUCUUAGCUUUAAGUUAGAAAUUCACUUAAAUACCACACAUCACACUGUCUACUGUCAUAGCCUAUGUUAUUAGUAUGAAAAAAGACAGUAACAUAUUAUAGCCUUCAAUAUACUUGUUGAAUUAUUUUUAUCAUUGUUUCAUAGGAAUUAUACACAGUCAUAUCCCACAACUUGAGAUUGAGGACAAAAUAAAAUAAGUAGGCCCCCAGAACCCCUAAGAACCAGUUUUGAGUUGACAGCUCUUGGUUUCUUUUCACUUACGCAGUUAGAAGUGGCUAUUAAUUUCCUAUUACCCCAUAUGCAAGAGGUUAGGGUUAAUCAUUAAGAGAGGGAGUAGGCCAAUGUCCACCUAACCUGAUGGUUUGGAAUGGGUUCUUAAAACCCCAGGACAAGACAAAAGAUAACAUUUUCAAAAUGUUAUAGGACCAGAGGUUACCCAGCACUUGUAGAUUUCAUAUACAUUUUCAGAUACAUGCCAUUUUUUUUAAUCUUGAUUAUAUCCUGUGUAGUAGAAAAGAGAGGCAAUCAUUCAUAAUUCAUAAAUUUUAUUUUCUUUUUAAAUAGGAAAUUGCAAAUACCCUCCAG